UGGAGGGAGGAAAGCGACAAAAAGAGGGAGGUAGGGGCCCGAAGGUCACGAGGAGAACAGAAUCAUACUUUGCGCAAAAGAAGGAGAUGGAUUGGGGACAAUAAUACAGUGGUCGCGGUUGGACGGGGCGGAGUCUACGGUGGGGACUGAUCACGGAUGGCCAUGGGAGGAUUGGUUGGUAAGACUCCACUGUUCAUCUUCUUUAAUAGGGUUUUGUUUGCCUGCUGCUGCUGCUGGUGAUGGGAUUGUCACAGGAAACUAGCAAGAAUGCAGAGGUGAGUUCCACUCUUCUAGUCGAGUUAUUAGGGUUCUUUUAAUCACUUAGUACUGCUUCAGUAAAGAACAUAGAUUUGGAUGAACUGAUCCUUUGAACUAAGUUUUUAUCAGUGGGAAUAGUUAUCAUUAAUCUUUUGUGGAGGUAUAAGACCUUGGGCAUUAUCUAGCACAUGUGAAAUCAUUGGUAUGACUCGUUGGAUCUAUUCAAUGCAUCCUUUAGCAGACAUUAUUGCUUUCUGUCAGUCAGAGCAUUUGGCAUAUUCUAAACUGAUGAAUCAUUCUGAAACUGUGAGAGAGAGAGAGAGAGAGAGAGAGAGAGUUAAAUUUAGGAAUUGCUUUUAUGUUUUAAUUUGUACUAUGAACUUAAUUAUGUAAGUAUAGGUAAUGCCAAAGUAUUAUUCUUAAGUUCUCUCUCAAAUUUAUCAAUAUAAGAGCAAACAUUUAAGAUUUUUUUAGAUGAGUCCAUUUCCUGCACUGUUGCUUUCCUAAACCAAGAACUAGUGAUGUCCUAGUCAUGAAAGUCCAAGUUGAUCUCACAAUUUGGUGACAAUGGUGGGAAGCUUAUAAUGCUUUAUAUUUAAGAUCUUUUUGGCUGAGGUGAAACCUUUUCCUGCAUUGUUGCUUUUGCAAACCAAGAACUAGUGAUAUCCUAGUCAUGAAACUCCAAAUUGUUCUCACAAUUUGGUGGCAGUGGUUGAAAGCUUACUGCUUUCUCUUUUUCAUAAUGCCAUAGGCAAGUAUAGACUCAUGAACCACAUGAUUAGAUUGAGGAGGCAAUAUAUAAUUCCUUCUUUUUCUCAUCCACCCACUUAAGUUCUUUUGGUGUCUCUGCACUGCACACAAGCAUAAUGUCAAACUCUCUUGCUUUUAUUGUUUGUUAGGUCUGAGGUCCAUUGAGGCUUCAUUGUGUUGACACUGGAAGUGUAGAAGAUGUGAUAGGAACACCUUGACAAACAAUUAGUGUGUUUAGAACAGGUGGUGAUAGGAAAGUGAUCAUCUAUGGGAAAAUGCAACAGUAGGUUGACUCGAUGGAACUUUCUUCAUCACCCUUUUCCCCAAGGACAGAAGAAUGGCACAAUAACCCCAGAAAACCUAAUUGAAUCUGCAACUUUCAGUGUUUACAGAGACCAAGAAAAAGAAAACAUUGUUAUUGAGGUUUUCAGAAGACUGAUGAUGAAGGAAGAAGACAUCAAACAAGUGAAACCCAUUUUAGUACCUUUCAUGGAGUAAGCUAACUGAGGACAUGGUAGCACAUAGGAUGAAGUCUAACAUAUUAGCUAGUAAAUAGAAAUAGGUGAUGAGGACAUCAUUGCCAACAUGUCAUCUCAUGAAACAACAAAACAACAUGAACAACAGAAGCUAGAUGGCAUAAACUAAUCCCCUGACCUUCUUUAGUAUCAAUGAAUCUUUGAAGCUCAUGAAAAGUGAAUGGGCUCAUACAACAUCUCAUUUGAAGGUUGUAUCUUGGAAAGCAAAUGACAACUUGAAUUAUACAUGAUUAAGCAGUAAACCAUCUUUUGGCUUGUCUGACAUUAGAAAUUUGAACACUUGUCAAAUAAGCAACAAGCUAAGCUUUCAGUUCAUAAAGUAGGGGAGAAGUAUGCAGUUUGAGCCACUGGGGCAAUCUUAAUUCUCUCCGCAAAGAAAUCAAUGCAUGAAUCUUCAUAUUUCGAUCUUCUUGCUCUCGUCAUCCGAGUAUGCCCAAUGUGGCUUCGCAGGAAUGCGAUCAAGAGCUUUCACUCCCAGUGGGUUGUCUUUGCUCUGUUCAUACACAUAAAAGUGUGAAAUGGAAAUGAACAGAUAUCGAAAAACACAGUCCAAAAUAUUCUUGAAGAUAAAUAGAGCAUGAGGUUAUACAUAGAUAUUCAUAUUCCAGGUCAUUAUGCUAAAUACAACAUGAGUCAUCACCAUUACUGCAGGAAUACAACCCCCACCCAGAAUCAAACUAGAUGAGGACUAAUCAUUUGUUUGUAACUUUGUAUACCUAAAGGUUCGCUUUUUUGCAAGCAUGCAUAAGCUCAGCUACCAGGUAAAAGAUAAGAAGCGCCAUCUGUUGGCAACUUUGUAUCCAGCUUGACAUCUAAAUAAGACAUGACAGUGAUAUGGGCCUGCUGCCAGUAAGGAAUUUGUAUGUAUGCAGCUGGACCACAGUACCAGUCCUAAAAGUCAUUUGGCGUAUUGUAAAGCCGGUAACUUAAGGAGCACAGAACCAUGCUCUAAUGACCUCAACUCGCAUGUAAAUGAGGAAAGUCAAUAACAAGAUACAACUUUUUAACCCAAGUCUGAACCGAGAUACAUUUGAUCAGCUAUGGAAUAAGUCGGCAUGGAACCAAAGUUGGAGUAUAUGUGAAAUUUUAUGAAAAAAAAGUAGGUGUACAUGCACACACCUGACACAUUAAAACUUUUCUGGACUUUAACAGGACUUGUAAGAACUCUUUUAUCAAAAUUUUGAAACUAAUAUUUUGGACACAUCGUUCUUGUUUGUUUCCACUCGAGUUCUUUAUUAACAAGUGUCUUCUGUGUCUCACUGAUAAAUGUGUAUAUUUCCAUCUUUAUGACUGUUUAAGCCUAGAAUGUUAGAGUUCUCAAUGCUUAGUAGAGUGGAAUAAUACUUUUUAGGGACAUGAUAUGAAUUAGAGUUGACAAAGUAAUAUGUUACCAUGCUUCAAGUUUGAAAUAGAAGUGGAUUUAAAUCAAGAUUCAAAAGAGACUUGUGUAAGACAUGAAUGAUGCAUGAAUUUAGCUUAUCUACUUGCUCAAUAUAGGCUCAAGCAUGGUUUGGUGUAGAAUUAAGCUUGAUGCAGUCUUGAUCUACUUUGUAACAAGUAGAAUUUGUUCAUUUAUCUAAGCUCAAAAUACUUGAUCAAACUGAAUUCUAUUACAAUACAACUUAUGAAUUCAUGUUCCAGGUUUUAAGUUAAGCAGAUUUACUGGCAUGACUCUUUUUAAGUUUUACACGAAGUUUAUGAAUACUGUAUUUUUUCUUCGGAUGACUGAGGAUUAUCUGAUAUCAAACAGUGAUACUUUGAUGAUAAGAUUGGCAGGCAUGAGAAGUUUCCAAAAGCAUGAGAUUACCAGUUGACAAGUUCCGGCCUGGGCAUUGCAGACGGGGAAGUCAGGGGGGCAGCAGCUGCGGUGAUCUUCACAGCAGGUUGCACCUUCAACAGGACAGCAUCCCCAGGCGAAGCAGUGACUGCCAUACUCAUAGACACAACAACAAGUGGUGCUCGACGGGCAGGAGAAGUACUUGUCACACGUGAUCGGAGGGCUCACGGGCGAGGGAGGACUCGGUCCAGGAUUGGGCGGAUUCUGACCCUUCUUUGUGGGGUAAGAAGGUUCUAUCGCGAUCCCGCACUUGCCGGUGGACGUGUUCAAGUUGCGCUCCAUCCUGAUAUAGCCAGCCUCUCCCCAGUCACUGCUCCAUGAGUUCCUGACGAUCCAGUAAUCCUUGCCAUUUUCAGUACCAUAGCCAACAACAACUACACCAUGAUCCAGCUUUGUGCCACAUCUUCCCGUGAAAACUCCCUGAAACAAAUAUUGCACAGCUUGUAACACAAAAGAAAAAGGAAUAGUAGAUAGUAGCAUUUACAGACGACAAUUGUAGAAACAUGAAAGCAUAGUUGUUGUCAAAUGCUGAUCUAAUUGUUGUCUUUGUGUUCUGAAUUAAUCCGAAGCUGUACUUAUUGGAUGCGUCAGAUCCUUUUGAGAUAUGUUUCAAGGCUUAAGGAGCUCUGCAAUUUAAACACAUAUUAUGAUUGAAAAUGCCUAUACAUUGAAUUCUGGCACAAAAUCUGUAGUAUUUCCUCUACCCAAUAAUUCUUCACAAAAAGUUAGAUCUGACAGCCUAUGAAUGUUUGAUAAUU
rnacentral:lncRNA from 1 species